rnacentral:rRNA from 1 species
AGAGUUUGAUCCUGGCUCAGAGUGAACGCUGGCGGCGUGGAUUAGGCAUGCAAGUCGAGCGAUCUUUUUUAUUGAAAUAGAUUGAAGCUUUCGGGCUGAUUUUUGUGGAUUUAAUUGAGAUAGCGGCAAACGGGUGAGUAACACGUGGGUAACUUACCUUGAGGAGGGAGAUAGCCGUGCGAAAGCAGGGGUAAUAUCCCAUAUGCUCUAUUCAUACUUUGAAUAGAGGAAAGGUGGCCUAUGCCCUCGGGUAUGCUAUCACCUUAAGAGAGGCCCGCGACUUAUCAGGUUGUUGGUAGGGUAAUGGCCUACCAAGCCUAAGACGAGUAGUUGGCCUGAGAGGGUAUUCAGCCACACCGGGACUGAGACACUGCCCGGACUCCUACGGGAGGCUGCAGUCGAGAAUCUUUUCCAAUGGGCGAAAGCCUGAGAAUGCGACGCCGCGUGGGGGAUGAAGGUUUUCGGAUCGUAAACCCCUUUUAUUGAGGAGGAACGUUAAAGGAUGAAUAAUCUUUUAACUUGACUGUACUCGAUGAAUAAGCCACGGCUAACUCCGUGCCAGCAGCCGCGGUAAUACGGAGGUGGCAAGCGUUACUCGGAUUGACUGGGUGUAAAGGGUCCGUAGGCGGCCGAAUAAGUGACGGGUGAAAUCUCUUCGCUUAACGAAGAAACUGCCUUUCAAACUAUUUGGCUUGAGAUUGGGAGAGGAGAGUAGAACUGCCGGUGGAAAGGUGAAAUUUGUGGAUAUCGGCAGGAAUGCCUGUGGGGAAGCCGGCUCUCUGGUCCAAUUCUGACGCUGAGGGACGAAAGCUAGGGGAGCAAACAGGAUUAGAUACCCUGGUAGUCCUAGCUGUAAACGAUGGGCACUAGGUGCUUGACCGUAAGGUUGGGUGCCGCAGUUAACACAUUAAGUGCCCCACCUGGGGACUACGGCCGCAAGGCUAAAACUCAAAGGAAUUGACGGGGACCCGCACAAGCGGUGGAACACGUGGUUUAAUUCGAUGCUACGCGAGGAACCUUACCAGGGUUUGACAUGCUGGAAGUAACUACCCGAAAGGGUGUGUGACCUGUAACCAGUCAGGUACCAGCACAGGUGCUGCAUGGCUGUCGUCAGCUCGUGCCGUGAGGUGUUCCCUUAAGUGGGAGAACGAGCGCAACCCUCGCUAUUAGUUGCUAUCUUUUGGCUUGUCUGAAGGAGCACUCUAAUGGGACUGCCCGCGUUAAGUGGGAGGAAGGUGGGGAUGACGUCAAGUCCGCAUGGCCCUUAUGUCCUGGGCUACACACGUGUUACAAUGCCUGUUACAAUAGGAUGCUAAGCCGUAAGGUGGCGCAAAUCCAAAAAGGCAGGCUCAGUUCGGAUUGAGGGCUGCAAUUCGCCCUCAUGAAGCUGGAAUCGCUAGUAAUGGCGCAUCAGCUACGGCGCCGUGAAUACGUUCCCGGGUCUUGUACACACCGCCCGUCAAGCGCUGAAAGUGGGGAGCACCCGAAGCCUCUGUAUAGGGUCCACGGUGAAUUUCAUGAUUGGCGCUAAGUCGUAACAAGGUA